CAGGAGGAGGAGCCGGACCCUGGGCCUCUGGUCUCCGAGCCCUGCCCUGUGUCCUCUGGGAGCCGUCACUGUGAAAAGCUUGAUUGAGGAUGUGGGGGGAAAGGCGGCUGGUGACCACUGGCCGUGGAAACCGCUGAGGCACAGUUUGAGACGGUGUGAGGGAAUCUCCCGCUGCUCCGCAGGGCCGAUGGGAGGCCAGCACCCGGUGGACGCUUCCUGUCCUGCUGGGGACGGAUGAUUGCAGCUUCUGUUUGCUAAAUGAAUGGCAAUCUCGCUAAAACAUCAUGUGCAAGGAAGGUCUGCUGAUGAAAAAUGCAGUUUUGAGAGGCCACUGUGCCCAGCCAGCAAGCCCGCGGGUGCUCCUCUUCCCGAAGGGGUCAUUGCCACCAUCUUCAGCUCCGACCUCCGAUGUGGGCAUUUUUAGCAUCUGCUCUGGAGUUGAGAGUUUCCCCAUAGA